AUGAGGACACUGUGUUGGAACUGCCGCGGGAUUGGCGACCCCGCGACACGAGAGCUCCGCGAUCUCGUGGAGGCUUGUGCGCCGACGGUGCUUUGUAUUGUGGAAACUCAAAUAGCAAAGUACCGGGUGGAGGGUUUGGCUGGUAGCUUAGGUUUUGAUAGUAGUUUUGGUGUGGCUAGUAGUGGGCGAAGUGGAGGAUUAUGCUUGUACUGGAAUAAU
rnacentral:rRNA from 1 species